CGCCCUCCGGUCCAAGCGCUGGAAUCGCGCGGCCCCGCCCCUUCCGGGAAGCCAGUUGCCGAGAAAACUAGCGGCGGACCCGGCCUCGGCCCGGCACUGGCUUACCUCGGCGUCGCUUUGGUUUCCGCGGCCACGUUCCUGGGCCCAGCCUUAGAAGCUGGAGGCAUCCCCAGAACACCACAGAAGUAUGGCAUUCUUGGACUGACCUGAGAACCAUGCUGAACCUGCAGCUCCCUCUGGAAGUAACAAAGGUGGUUGUUUGGGUUCAUACAGUGAAAACGAUUUGCUUUUGACUCCAUCCAAAAGGACUGUUAGUCAGCUUUCAAAGCACCUUCUAGAAGGCACUACUAAGG